ensembl:snRNA U4 U4 spliceosomal RNA
AGCUUUGCGCAGUGGCAGUAUCGUAGCCAAUGAGGUUUAUCUGAGGCGCGAUUAUUGCUAAUUGAAAACUUUUAAAUUGUGAUGG